rnacentral:rRNA from 1 species
UACAGAGGGUGCGAGCGUUAAUCGGAAUUACUGGGCGUAAAGCGUGCGUAGACGGUUAUUUAAGUCGGGUGUGAAAGCCCCGGGCUCAACCUGGGAACUGCAUUCGAGACUGCAUAGCUAGAGUAUGGGAGAGGGAAGUGGAAUUUCAGGUGUAGCGGUGAAAUGCGUAGAUAUCUGAAGGAACAUCAGUGGCGAAAGCGACUUCCUGGACCAAUACUGACGCUCAUGUGCGAAAGCGUGGGGAGCAAACAGG